UUAAAUUGAGAGUUUGAUCCUGGCUCAGGAUGAACGCUGGCGGCGUGCUUAACACAUGCAAGUCGAGCGAUGAAGUUUCCUUCGGGAAACGGAUUAGCGGCGGACGGGUGAGUAACACGUGGGUAACCUGCCUCAUAGAGUGGAAUAGCCUUCCGAAAGGAAGAUUAAUACCGCAUAAUGUUGAAAGAUGGCAUCAUCAUUCAACCAAAGGAGCAAUCCGCUAUGAGAUGGACCCGCGGCGCAUUAGCUAGUUGGUGGGGUAACGGCCUACCAAGGCGACGAUGCGUAGCCGACCUGAGAGGGUGAUCGGCCACAUUGGGACUGAGACACGGCCCAGACUCCUACGGGAGGCAGCAGUGGGGAAUAUUGCACAAUGGGGGAAACCCUGAUGCAGCAACGCCGCGUGAGUGAUGAAGGUUUUCGGAUCGUAA
rnacentral:rRNA from 1 species